GGGGCACCACCAGGAGUGGAGCCUGCGGCUUAAUUUGACUCAACACGGGGAAACUCACCCGGCCCGGACACCGGAAGGAUUGACAGAUUGAUAGCUCUUUCUUGAUUCGGUGGAUGGUGGUGCAUGGCCGUUCUUAGUUGGUGGAGCGAUCUGUCUGGUUAAUUCCGAUAACGAACGAGACUCUAGCCUACUAAAUAGUGACUGGAUUGCUUGUGUCCAGAAUACUUCUUAGAGGGACAAGUGGUGUUCAGCCACACGAAAUUGAGCAAUAACAGGUCUGUGAUGCCCUUAGAUGUCCGGGGCUGCACGCGCGCUACACUGGAGAAAUCAGCGUGCUAUACCAUUGCCGAAAGACAUUGGUAAACCGAUCAAAAUUCUCCGUGAUCGGGAUCGGGAAUUGGAAUUAUUUCCCUUGAACGAGGAAUUCCCAGUAAGUGUGGGUCAUCAGCUCACGCUGAUUACGUCCCUGCCCUUUGUACACACCGCCCGUCGCUGCCCGGGACUGAGCCGUUUCGAGAA
rnacentral:rRNA from 1 species